UCCCGUGUGGCUCAGUUGGUAGAGCAUGGUGUUUGCAACGCCAGGGUUGUGGGUUCGAUUCCCACAGGGGAC
rfam:Salmo salar isolate Sally breed double haploid chromosome ssa01, whole genome shotgun sequence.